CUGCACUACAAUUUUAAACUUGUAUUAAUUUUUGUCACCUUUUUUCGGGUGGUAAAACCACUUCCUACUUUUUGAUUUUCAAGUGGCACUUGUAUUAAAAAUUCCAUAAAAAGAUGGGAGUAUUAGUUAAAAUAAAUUUUAGUGUUAAAAUUUUUGAUUUCCGUCGAUUCGUUGACGAGAUAUUCCACUUUUAAGGUUCGGUUGGAGGAAAGUAGUGGAGUAUCAUUAGUGUGGUGGUACGGGGUACGGAGUGUUAAUAACGCAACACUACUCUCCUCCAACCUAAAAUUAAGUGGUAUAUCUUAUCAACGGCCUGACAUAAAUUAAAAAUGUUAACCUUAAAGUUUAUUUAAACUUAUACUCCAUCUAUUUAAGGAAUUUUUAAUAUAGGCUGCCAUUUGAAAAUCAAAAAUAGGAAGUGUUUUACCUCCCUCCCCCCCCUCCAAAAAAAGGGCGACAAAAAAUAACAUAAAUAUAAAAUUGUAGUGCAGCUUGUUUCUUAAAUGUUCUAGAAAACAAAUUUCAUAAAAAGUUAAUACUUUUAGAGAUAAUGAGUCUACCAUCUUAAAUGAAUCACC